UUUUCUCUAUUUUUUAUCUUAUAUUUUUCUCUACCAUAAAAUUUAUUCCUUGCUCCUCUCCUUACACCCUAAAAAUAAAACCCUAGUCCACCUACCCUUGAGUGUAGGCAACCAUCCUAGGGUUGUCCUACAUCAAUUUUGGUAUCAGAGCGAAAAUUCUUGGCAUGAAGGCAUAUGCAAUUAAGGAGCGGAGCAACUUAUGCAAGCAUGAGUUCCAAAAAAACUUCUAGCAAUCAAGAUGCUACUACAAUACACUUGGAGGAAAUUUCAGCCACACAACAAUCCCAUCAAGAUGUUAUAAUACAACUAAAUAGCAAACUUGAUGAGAUCAUUAAGUUAUUAGAAAAGAGUCGAGAAAAAUGACCAAUUGAAGAGGAGAUUGCAAGUCAUCAAUUUAGACAAUCGCCAAAUCGAUCACACAAAGAACAAGACAAUUUUAUGAUGGGGACUCAAAGAAGGGUCAGACUUUUUGAGCUAGAUGAUGAUGUGACUAAAAAGGCACGUCUUGAAGUUGCUGAAUUUUAUGGAAAACUAAAUCCAACAGCUUUUCUUGAUUGGAUUAUGUCAAUGGAAGAUUACUUUGAUUGGUAUGCAAUGCCUGAAAAUAGAAAAAUUCGUUUUGUGAAGGCAAAGUUGAAAGGAGCAGCACGUCUAUGGUGGCAUAAUAUUGUGAAUCAAGUUCAUAUAACUUGCCAACCACCUAUUGACACAUGGGACAAGAUGAAGUUGAAGAUGAAGGAGCACUUUCUCCCAACUGAUUAUGAACAACUUAUGUAUACAAAAUUAUUUUCCCUUAAACAAGGUACCAAGUCCGUUGAAGAAUAUACAGAAGAAUUCUAUGAAUUGAGCAUUCGAAAUCAAGUGUGGGAAAGUGAUGCUCAACUUGCAGCCCGCUACAAAGUUGGACUUCGAAUGGAAAUUCAACUUGAGAUGAUAGUUGCACACACUUAUAUCGUAGAUGAUGUUUAUCAACUAGCCCUCAAAAUAGAAGAAGGCCUCAAAUUUCAGUUUUCCAGACAUCCAAGUUCACAAAUUGGGAGCACUUUCUCCAACACGACAGCAAGCAAACCUUUAAGUACAUCAAACUUCAGAACUUCUAAUCAUGUGAAUGGUGGGGGCAACACUCAACAAACUUCAAAUGUGGCUCAUAAGAAUGAUAAUAAGGGUAAAACUUCAAUGAGUAUUGGAGAUAGAAAAGUAGACGUGACUCCUUUAUGCUUUAAGUGUGGUGGGCAUGGUCAUUAUGUUGUUGUAUGCCCAACCAAAGGUUUACACUUGUGUUGAAGAACCAGAAUCUGAAUUGGAGAGUUACCCAAAGGAAGAAGAAACCUACAACGAAGAUGAAAUUAGUGAAGAAUGUGACUACUACGAUGGUAUGACGGAAGGGCAUAGUCUUGUAGUACAACCUUUAUUAGCUGUCCCAAAGGUAAAAGGAGAAGAAGAUUGGAGACGUACUAGCAUUUUCCAAACACGUAUUUCUUGCCAAGGGAGAUUAUGCACCAUGCUCAUUGAUGGAGGUAGCAGUUUGAACAUAGCUUUGCAAGAACUUGUUGAGAAGCUUAAUCUAAAGAUAGAAGAUCAUCCAAAUCCCUAUCAAAUAGCAUGGGUAAAUGACACAUCUAUUUUGGUGAGUUCUCGUUGUCUAGUGAUGUUUAAUUUCAGUAAUAAUUUUAAGUUAUCAGCAUGGUGUGAUGUUUUGCCGAUAAAAGUUGCCCAUAUCAUGCUUGGAAGACCAUGGCUUUUUGAUGAAAGGGUCCAACAUGAUGGAUAUGAUAACACUUACACACUUGUGCACAAUGGGCGUAAGAAGAUCCUUCGUCCAAUGAAGGAAACUCCACCACAUAAGCAACCAGAGGAAAAAUUAGCACCCUUGAAACUAGAAGAGUCAUCAAAUAUUCUUAUUAAAAAAGCAAGUCGAAGUUACUAGAAAGGAGGAAGAAAUCAUCAAUGAUGAAUCUAGAAAGCAAGAGGUGAUGAAACUAAUCCUAGAUCAACCAAUAGAAGAGCUCAAAGAAGCUGAAGAAGUUGAAGAAGAAUCGAUGUUUGACUUCCCAAAGCCAAACAUUAUCAUGAGUGGUGACAAACAUAAAAAAUCUGCUGAAAUUUCUUUUGAAUAUAGGGAAUUCAAGAAUCUUAUUCUUCCACAAAACAAUUUACAAGAAGAGUGUGGGAAAUAACUUUCCACAAGCUUGUUGAAGACACAUAAUUAUUUCGAGAAUUAUCAACUUGUUGUACAACAUCAAAAAGUUUUUCAAAGUCUAGUAUUUGUCUUGCAUGAAAUUGAACAAGUUCAAGAGAUCUUGAGAUCUUGUCUCACCAUGGGAAAGAGACGAAAAAGAAAGAAAGGGUGGAAGACAUUGUUCGGAAUUUCAAUUGAUCGUGGAAAAUCACUAAAACUCGAGGUCGAGUUUUUUUCAAGUCAGGGAGAAUUGAUGAGGAUGAAUCUUCAAGAUAUAUAUCAAGAAAGGGAAUUAGUAUUAGUUGUAAUUAAAGUAGGAUUAAUUUUACUUGGAAUUAAAUUAGGAUUAAUAUUUGUUGGAAUUAAAUUAGGAUUAGCUAGUUGAGUUAUAAUAUAAUUAGAAUUUGAGUCAUGAUAGGUUAUUAUAGUCCUAGUAGACUUUGGAUGUUGUAACUAGAAUUAGAAUCAUAAUAUAUUAUUAGAAUCCUAGUAGACUUUGGAUUUCUUAGAGAAGCCUAUAAAUAGGCUAAUCAAUAUAAAUCAAAUAGAUGAAUUGAUAUUAAUAAUAUUAUGUUUUCUUUCAUUACAAGGUUGCAACCCUCAAUGGUGAGACUCUAUUGAUUUUCUUCUAGGUGAGACUCCUAGAAGGCCUUAGUGAGACUCUAAAGUUUUCGAUCUUUUCUUCGUUGUUUUUUUCUUUUUCUCUAUUUCUUAUCUUAUAUUUUUCUCUACCAUAAAAUUAUUCCUUGCUCCUCUCCUUACACCCUAAAAAUAAAACCCUAGUCCACCUACCCUUGAGUGUAGGCAACCAUCCUAGGGUUGUCCUACAUCACACUACCUGAUAUUUGAUUUUGAAUAUUUAAUGAAGGGUCUUCUCCACCUAUAUUUCUAAUAUAAGCACCUCAAAGGCUGAACUGCUUGAAUGCAGCUCAACUCACGUUUGUUUCUUUUUCCAUCCCUGCUAUUCUCUUAUGUAUGUGUUGUGUUCAAGUAUAAUAGGCAUGGUGGCAAGCUCCAAGGAUCAUUUCUCUUAUGCCUCAAGCUCAGGUGCAUAUACGAGGACAUAGGUGUUGAGGAGCAUGUCCU
rnacentral:lncRNA from 1 species